ensembl:snRNA Gm27343 U7 small nuclear RNA
AGCUAUUGCAGCUCUUUUUGAAUUGUUUCUAGCAGGUUUUCUGACCAAAGUCAGAAAACCCAA